rnacentral:lncRNA from 1 species
UUUUUUUUUAACUGAACAUUUGGUAACAUGCAGAAGAGACUGACAAAAUGGUUUCUGGCAACUUUUAAUGUAAAGUUUACAUAGAAAAACAGGAUAUUAGUUCAGACCACUGGUGAUAUCUCAUGCUGAAAGCAAAUUGUGAAAUGUUUUAGACAGUUGUUUUUCAAUGCUUAAUCCUAAAGUUUCAAAAUUUUGACUUAAAAUGCAUAGAAGUAAGAGACUUUUUUUUUACCUGAUGGCAUGUUUACAUACAAUAAUUUUCUAAAAAAAUAAAAAGGCCUGCAUUUCAGUGGCUCUCAACCUUCCUAAUUCUGUGACUCUUUCAACCAUAAAAUUAUUUUCAUUGUUACUUCAAAACUGUAAUUUUACUACUGUUAUAAACUGUGAUAUAAACAUCUGUGCUCUCCAAUGGACUUAGGUAACCCCUGUGAAAGGGCCAUUCUCUCUCCAAAGGGAGUCAUGACUCACAGGUUGAGAACCAAUGCUAUAUUUUCAUACAUCUCAGUUUGGGAUUUCAUCAGGUUUUUAUACAAUAUAUGAAAAACAGAUCCAGGUCCAUGCCCUUCAUACAUUAAUCUCAGCGAUGACAAAGACAAUGACAGACACUGGCAUUUUUUUUUUCUUUAAGCAAUUUGAGAACUACAUUCGGCGGAGUGACAGAUUAGCCAUCUUGGUAGCAAAGGUUCUAUCACACAAACAACUUACUGUAUGGAGGGAAGUGAAUUGUACUUAUCUUUAUCUUAAUGCCAGCUCAAAAGCCUCAAUUCAUUAUUUGAUUUCUUAACAAGAUACACUGAAAAAACAUAUGCAUAUGAGGUAAGAACUAUUCUUAAGUGAAACCUGAAAACAUUUUAUAGAUUAUUUUGUUCGUUACCUUUACACAAUGCACCAUUCAUUUCAGUCAUUAAAAUACCUUGCACCAAACACGGCAUCUUCAAUCUUAACUCCUCAAAUAUGAGAAAAACUAAUAGUUUCCACUAGUAGAAGUGGAAUUUAUAAAGUCAAUAUAACGAAAAGGAUUACAGACCCAAGACAGUUUUUUAAAGAGAAUUCAGACAAUGAAAUGAGUGCUCUGCUUAAUUUAGCUAACUAGCUUAACAAGCGCCACCUCCCUUCACUGCAGGCUAAUGGGCACAGCCAUCUUUAGCAUUUUCUAUGGUGACCUUUCUGAUUUCAUCUUGGAGGUCUCAGGGAAAGCCAGCAGGGCUCAUUUCUCAGAAAACACUGUUAAAAUUCAAUUGCUACUCUCUUAAUAGUACGCAGUAAUUAAAUAAUUUUGGCAAUAUGUUAUUUUCAAAUUUUUCAACAUAAGGCACAGAGGAACAUCUAACGUUCAGAAGCAAGUAUAUUACACAAUAAAUAGUUAACUUUCAUUUAUCCUUUGCCCUUUAUCUGAAGAAAGGGGAUGAGUAGUGCAGUAAAAACAUGCCUGGAUUCAUUAAAAAAAAAGAAAGUUGGGAUUUGAGAAACUUUCUGUGUGUAGAAAGAAUAUUAAUUCAAAAGAGAUAAAAAUAUUUCAUAUAAAAUACACACCCUGUGUUACAGGUAGAUAGAAAAAAAAACAAAAACAAAA